GACGAACGCUGGCGGCGUGCCUAAUACAUGCAAGUAGAACGCUGACGGAGGAGCUUGCUCUUCUGGCUGAGUUGCGGACGGGUGAGUAACGCGUAGGUAACCUGCCUGGUAUCGGGGGAUAACUAUUGGAAACGAUAGCUAAUACCGCAUAAGAUAAGAUGUUGCAUUACAUUUACUUAAAAGUUGCAAUUUCAUCACUACCAGAUGGACCUGCGGUGUUUUCGCUAGUUGGGGGGGUAAAGGCUUACCAAGGCGACGAUUCAUAGCCGACGUGAGAGGGUGAACGGCCACCCUGGGACUGGGACAAGGCCCAGACUUCUACGGGAGGCAGCAGGAGGGAAUCUUUGGCAAUGGACGGAAGUCCUACCGAGCAACGCCGCGUGAGGGAAGAAGGUUUUCGGAUCGGAAAGCUCUGUUGUAAGAGAAGAAAGAGUGGGAGGGUGGAAAGUUCACACUGUGACGGUACCUUACCAGAAAGCGACGGCUAACUACGUG
rnacentral:rRNA from 1 species